GCCACAUCACCGUUGAAUAACCAUUCUCGUACAGUCACCGAAGUUAAGCAACGUUGAACUUGGUCAAUACCUUGAUGGGUGACCGCUUGGGAAUACCAGGUGCUGUAA